rnacentral:rRNA from 1 species
CAGCAGCCACGGUAAUACGAAGGGGGCUAGCGUUGCUCGGAAUUACUGGGCGUAAAGGGCGCGUAGGCGGACAGUUAAGUCGGGGGUGAAAGCCCGGGGCUCAACCUCGGAAUUGCCUUCGAAACUGGCUGUCUUGAGUAUGAGAGAGGUAUGUGGAACUCCGAGUGUAGAGGUGAAAUUCGUAGAUAUUCGGAAGAACACCAGUGGCGAAGGCGACAUACUGGCUCAUUACUGACGCUGAGGCUCGAAAGCGUGGGGAGCAAACAGGAUUAGAUACCCGCGUAGUCCCUGUCUCUUAUAC